rnacentral:rRNA from 1 species
UAUUGGUCAAUGGACGCAAGUCUGAACCAGCCAUGCCGCGUGAAGGAUGAAGGUCCUCUGGAUUGUAAACUUCUUUUAUAUGGGAAGAAAUCCUCGAAAUCUUUCGGGGUUGACGGUACCAUAGGAAUAAGCACCGGCUAACUCCGUGCCAGCAGCCGCGGUAAUACGGAGGGUGCAAGCGUUAUCCGGAUUCACUGGGUUUAAAGGGUGCGUAGGAGGGCAGGUAAGUCAGUGGUGAAAUCUCCAAGCUUAACUUGGAAACUGCCGUUGAUACUAUCUGUCUUGAAUACCGUGGAGAUGAGCGGAAUAUGUCAUGUAGCGGUGAAAUGCUUAGAUAUGACAUAGAACACCAAUUGCGAAGGCAGCUCGUUACACGAAUAUUGACUCUGAGGCACGAAA